ACCGACACUAUGAUGAUCUCAGUGUAGUUUGUUCUUCAGUAUGUUUCUUCUUAUGAUUCUGAAGACUUCUUGAAGAAGCAAAUCUCUCUCCACAGAUCGAGCAGACGUAAGGUUUCUCGCCAGUGUGAAGUCUCUCAUGGGCUUUUAAGUGACCUGACUGAGUAAACGUCUUCUCACAAUGAGAGCAUUUGUAAGGUUUCUCUCCAGUGUGAACUCUCUGAUGAACAGUGAAUUGAGAUGGAUCAGAGAAGCUCUUUCCACACUGAGAGCAUUGGUAAGGUUUCUCGCCAGUGUGAAGUCUCUCAUGGAG